rnacentral:rRNA from 1 species
GUGGGGAAUCUUGCGCAAUGGGCGAAAGCCUGACGCAGCCAUGCCGCGUGAAUGAUGAAGGUCUUAGGAUUGUAAAAUUCUUUCACCGGGGACGAUAAUGACGGUACCCGGAGAAGAAGCCCCGGCUAACUUCGUGCCAGCAGCCGCGGUAAUACGAAGGGGGCUAGCGUUGCUCGGAAUUACUGGGCGUAAAGGGCGCGUAGGCGGACAGUUUAGUCAGAGGUGAAAGCCCAGGGCUCAACCUUGGAAUUGCCUUUGAUACUGGCUGUCUUGAGUACGGGAGAGGUGAGUGGAACUCCGAGUGUAGAGGUGAAAUUCGUAGAUAUUCGGAAGAACACCAGUGGCGAAGGCGACUCACUGGCCCGUUACUGACGCUGAGGCGCGAAAGCGUGGGGAGCAAACAGGAUUAGAUACCCGAGUGUCC